rnacentral:lncRNA from 1 species
GCUUUUUCCAAAUUCCUUUAAAUAAACUUCCAGACUCUUCACAAUAAAUUUUUUAAAGCAAUGUAAAAAGGAACCUAAUGUUAGUCAAUUAUUUGUAUGCUUAUGAACCAAAAAAAAGUUAUUGUUUCUAAAGCAAAUCCCACUACCAUAAUAUGCUUUUCCCUUCUUUUAAUCCCACUUUCUCUUUUGUAUCGUUAAGUUUAGCAUCUCCAGGCCUUCUUCACUAAGAAAAUCAUAUCAAUACAUACCCUGUCAUAUUUUCCAGAAAACAUUCAGCACAAGUCAAAGAAACAGAGAUUGAGAGGAACUGCUGGUUUCAAAUAGGAUAAUAUUUUGUUCUAAUAUUGUAUCCGUUUACCAAAUCUGUUCCUAUCUACGGACGCUAAUGGGUGCUGACUGGGGACCAGUGGUGGUGGCGGUAGUGCUGUUCAUCCUCCUAUCACCAGGGCUGCUCUUCCAGUUGCCGGCGAGGGCAAGGGUGAUCGAAUUUGGCAACAUGUAUACAAGUGGGAUUUCCAUUCUGGUUCAUGCAAUCUUGUAUUUUGUUAUUUACACUAUCUUAAUUGUUGCAGUUGGAGUGCAUAUACAUGCUGGUUGAUUAUAUGCUCAAUGAUACAAGAAAUUACUUCAAAUUUAAGUUCCCUUUGUAUUCCCUUCUUUUAUAAUAACUUUUUUUUCUUUGGUAAAUUUGUCUUCUCUUGGAUUAUGGAUGUUGUAUAGUUGAUUGCGUCAAAUUAUAACGCCAUGAAAUAAAUAAUUAACAUCGACUCAAGGUAUCAGAAUAUGUAGGGUGGUCGGACAAGUGAAAAUCCGACCCUUGAUGGGCCAUGCGGUG